CCAGAGUUGCUAAGGAAGAUCGUCAUAGCUUGGAGAGAAGUUCGUCCUCAAGGGAGAUCUGAGUUAGGAAAGAAGAAUUGCAUCACCAAGGAAGCUUAUAUGUAAUGGGUUAAGGAUAGAGUUGAAGAAAUUAUGUUGCCAUUCCCGUUUGAGCCAUAUAUGAGCGUCAUGCAACCUAUGUUUGUCGUUAUUCCUACCUCUGAGGUUGGAAAAGUCAAGGAGACU
rnacentral:lncRNA from 1 species